rnacentral:rRNA from 1 species
UACGUAGGUGGCAAGCGUUGUCCGGAUUUAUUGGGCGUAAAGCGCGCGCAGGCGGUCCUUUAAGUCUGAUGUGAAAUCUUGCGGCUCAACCGCAAGCGGUCAUUGGAAACUGGGGGACUUGAGUACAGAAGAGGAAAGCGGAAUUCCACGUGUAGCGGUGAAAUGCGUAGAGAUGUGGAGGAACACCAGUGGCGAAGGCGGCUUUCUGGUCUGUUCUUGACGCUGAGGCGCGAAAGCUAGGGGAGCGAACGGG